rnacentral:rRNA from 1 species
UGAACGAUGGGCCAGAGGCCGGGGUAAGUAGAGGGCUGGGAGGGUUGUCCGGAAGCAAUGGGGGGAAAGGGCGCGGAGGCGGCUCGAUAAGGGUGCGGUGAAAGCCCGGGGCUCAACCCCGGGUCGGCCGUGGCAACUGUCGAGCUGGAGCACGGGAGAGGCAGGUGGAAUUCCGGGUGUAGCGGUGGAAUGCGUAGAGAUCCGGAAGAACACCGGUGGCGAAGGCGGCCUGCUGGGCAGUGGCUGACGCUGAGGCGCGACAGCGUGGGGAGCAAACAGGAUUAGAUACCCUGGUAGUC